rnacentral:rRNA from 1 species
GACGAACGCUGGCGGCGUGCCUAAUACAUGCAAGUAGAACGCACAGUUUAUACCGUAGCUUGCUACACCAUAGACUGUGAGUUGCGAACGGGUGAGUAACGCGUAGGUAACCUGCCUGGUAGCGGGGGAUAACUAUUGGAAACGAUAGCUAAUACCGCAUAAUAUUAAUUAUUGCAUGAUAAUUAAUUGAAAGGUGCAAUUGCACCACUACCAGAUGGACCUGCGUUGUAUUAGCUAGUAGGUGAGGUAACGGCUCAACUAGGCGACGAUACAUAGCCGACCUGAGAGGGUGAUCGGCCACGCUGGGACGGAGACACGGCCCAGACUCCUGCGGGAGGCAGCAGUAGGGAAUCUUCGGGAAUGGACGAAAGUCUGACCGAGCAACGCCGCGUGAGUGAAGAAGGUUUUCGGGUCGUAAAGCUCUGUUGUAAGAGAAGAACGGGUGUGAGAGUGGAAAGUUCACACUGUGACGGUAUCUUACCAGGAAGGGACGGCUAACUACGUG